ACUCAGAUGACAGUAGCUUGUCUCAUACAUUUUGUUAUCAAUGUGUGAUGGCAUAAUCUUGCAAAAUAAAGUGUGUAACACUGUGAAACAGUUAAAACAACAAUUUAUUUUUUUAAAAAAAGUAUCAUGGUUUUAAUCUUUACUAUUGCUUUUACAGUGUUAAAAUUUAAAGGAUGUCCAGCAUGCCUUCAGUCUUCCCCACAUCCAGAAUCCCUUAAAGAAACUCGUUUACAUGAAGUAGACACUUUUAUCUUGCAUUAAAACAAACACAAAAAAAGACAGACUUUCUAGUCACCUGAAGUCACGUUUCCAAGGUAGCGAGUCAGGCAGUUAUCCAGCAACAACCUCCUUAUUUUAAACAUUUUUCUUUUUUAAAAAAGGUAUGAAACAGUAGUGACCCAGCACUAGCCUAGGUUUUAAAUAUAAAAGAGAUUUUUAUCAGUGUAAAUUUGAAAAUCAAACCAACUGCCACCACCUGGGUGUUAAUGAUAUUGGUCAUAGUCCAGCAAUGACCUCCCAUUGUAAUUCUCCACGUUAAUUCCACUGUGGUCCAUAAUUCAUGGCCCACCAAAAGGCAACAACCAGCAAGGCUGCUGGCACCAGCUUCUGGCAGACACACCUGAAAGGGAGCCUGCAAAUCUGUGGGAAGAGAAGGAAACUGUCAUUAGAAAUAACAAGCAGCAAAAAGAUGGUGUGGAAAAGCUACCAGGAACACCUGCGUGUGAGGCCACUGGGAAAUGGAGAGCAGAACCCGGCUCUCCUGGGGAAAGGCACCAUCAGGGGUGUGGUUUUGCUGAUGGGUUGCCUCUAGCUUCUAAAGGACCCCUCUCUCUUCUCUGGGCUAAGCAGGGGGUCUGCUUAUCUCCCCUGGACUAGGCCCUGACAGCGUCUUAGUGGGAGAUGCCUUCCCUCCACAUGCAGGCCCCAGGAGUUGCGUAGGACUUGGGCUGCUGGGUGCAGACAUUUGCCAUACUCUAUCUGUAAGUAAGUGAGGAAUUUCAGCCAAAAAAGAAAAAAUGGGGCAACGGGAGGACACCAGCCAACUUAAGGAAUAAACCCAAAGUGAGGGCCGCAUUAUGUGCUUUACUCAUUGUCACUUACAUGGGAGUGAGGUGUCGCUGUUACCUACUUGUCAACAAAAAGGUGAGAGAAAAGGGAGAGCAUACCCAGCUUCCAUAACCAAUGAUCUUCUUUGUCCAGUUAUUGUUCAAAAUAUUUCCAAAGCUUCUUAUAACACUUUUAAUAAUAUUCCAUGUCUGGAAAACACUGAGAGCAACCCUGAUGAUUUAAACAACAACAACAACAAAAAAAAAGAGAAAAAAGAAAAAAAUCUAAAAAUUGGCAAAUGAAAUACCACGGUUUAGAAAACCUCAAAAAGAAACUCAAAACUGCAAUAUGUUUCUUCCUGAAAGUCUACGUGUACAUGUGUAUGUCUCUAAAUACUUAGAAAGAAGACCUGGCAACUUGGUAGGGCUUUGAAAGCUAAAGGCAAUUGGGUUUCAUAAUUAAUUAAACACAAACAUCACACAAGGAAACGUCCAGCAGAGCUCCUGAACAGGAACCUUGUGCCUUUGCUCUUCUUUCAAACUGAGAACAGCACAACCCAAGGAGAGCUGCUGCCCUCUAAUAAAUGAGAGUUCAGGGCAGCAGGAGUUCAGGACUGACAGGAAUCCCACAGGGUCUCUGCAGCGUGAAUCCAGCUUUCCUGAGGUAGAAGAUACAGGACUAUACACUACAUCGAGCAACACAGCUGUAACUGAAUUACAUUCUCUGUAAGUCUGCAGUCAGUGACCAUCCUGAAGCAAGGAAAAGAAGAGGCAGAACUGCAUGUUUUUAAAAGGAUCUGAAGACUGAUGGUGGCAGUGAGGUAACUUACCCGUGUGCCAGGUGAAGCAGCGUGUCUUCAAACUUCCUGUGGAAAAGACAACAGAAAAUCUUUUUGAAAAAGAACCCUGCUAAACCAAGUGCCUCUGAGAUCCCACCUAUUGCGUCCAGAUUGGGGAGAUAAGAGAGACUGUUGAUUUGCAGGUACACUGUACUAAGUCUAAGAACUCAAAUUUAAUUCACCAUUUAUGCUGUCUUUCUCAUUCUGCACAUCAGUAUAAAGAAUUAAAAUGCCAGUCUGUUCUCCUUUUUCCUUAGGCUCCCUGGGUCAGUAAAAUGUUGACAGUGACAGUGUUACUAACACUGCCACAAAGCAACGACAACUUAAAAUCUAGUUCAACUACAAUAUUUUAGUGGUGUUUUUACAUAAUAAAAUUAUCAAGUUACCAUUGG